CAAUAGAGUAUAGAAAAACGGAUACUUUGUUGCAUCCAAUGUGGUAACUAUGACGAUGAAAAACAGAUACAGCAAGUGGUGUGAUUUGCAAUAAAGUACCGCAAGUGGUAUGGCUUGCAAUAAUAUACCGCAAGUGGUGUGACUUGCAUAAUAGUUAUGGCAAGUGGUGUGACUUGCCGAAAGGAAACUGCAAGUGGUGUGACUUGCCAAAAAAAUACCGCAGGUGGUGUGACUUGCAAAUAUGGUAAUGCAAGUGGUGUGACUUGCAAAAUAGGUACCACAAGUCGUGUGACUUACAGAAAAGGUGGAAGGGAGGUAUUCGAACGCUGAUUUA